rnacentral:piRNA from 1 species
UAACAUUUCAAAGAUGGUACUGUUUUAGGGG